rnacentral:tRNA from 1 species
CACUAGGGAGCUAUAUACCAGCAUUGGGCUUUUAACCCAAAGAAAGUUAUACUUAACUUCUAGUGA